rnacentral:rRNA from 1 species
GAUGAACGCUGACAGCAUGCUUAACACAUGCAAGUCUUUGGCGAAGCUGUGCUUGCACCGCCUAGCCAAGGCGGACGGGUGAGUAACGCGUAAGGAACUUGCCCUGCAGUCAGGGAUAACAGACGGAAACGACUGAUAAGACCUGGUAAAGUCAGGCGGACUCAUGUCCAGCCUGAUGAAAAGAGAUGCUGCAGGAGAGCCUUGCGUCCUAUUAGCUUGUUGGUGGGGUAACGGCCCACCAAGGCGAUGAUAGGUAGCCGGCCUGAGAGGGUGGACGGCCACAAGGGGACCGAGAUACGGCCCUUACUCCUACGGGAGGCAGCAGUGGGGAAUAUUGGACAAUGGGGGCAACCCUGAUCCAGCAAUUCUGUGUGCACGAUGAAGGUUUUCGGAUUGUAAAGUGCUUUCAGCAGGGAAGAAAAAAAUGACGGUACCUGCAGAAGAAGCGACGGCUAAAUACGUG